AGCGAACGCUGGCGGCAGGCCUAACACAUGCAAGUCGAACGAACCUUUCGGGGUUAGUGGCGUACGGGUGAGUAACACGUGGGAACGUGCCUUUAGGUUCGGAAUAACUCAGGGAAACUUGUGCUAAUACCGAAUGUGCCCUUCGGGGGAAAGAUUAAUCGCCUUUAGAGCGGCCUGCGUCUGAUUAGCUAGUUGGUUGAGUUAAUGGCUCACCAAGGCGACGAUCAGUAGCUGGUCUGAGAGGAUGAUCAGCCACAUUGGGACUGAGACACGGCCCAAACUCCUACGGGAGGCAGCAGUGGGGAAUCUUGCGAAAUGGGCGAAAGCCUGACGCAGCCAUGCCGCGUGAAUGAUGAAGGUCUUAGGAUUGUAAAAUUCUUUCACCGGGGACGAUAAUGACGGUACCCGGAGAAGAAGCCACGGCUAACUUCGUG
rnacentral:rRNA from 1 species